rnacentral:lncRNA from 1 species
CUUCAAAUGACAUGCUAGAAGGAAAGUCUGGACAACUGCAGCCUGUUUGUAAGGAUGUGUGUGCUGUAACCCACUCUGCUAAUGCGGCUCACAGCUCUGCUCUUCCUCCUCUGCACUGAUAUCCUCUGCUCCUUGGUCUGCGUAUUCAAAGCCUCAGUGUCAGCUCUUUUUGUGUUAUGCUGAUGAAACAAAUCCAUGGCUUUCUUGUAUCCACAAUAAGAAAAGAGGCUGGUUCCUUUUCUGGGUGCAUUUUUCCACCAAGCUCUGCUAGUUUUUUUUUUAGUGGAAGGAUACAAUCAGGAACUCUCAGUGCUGUCCUGACACCUCUGCCUGUGGCUCAGAGCUGGGAAUGGAUGUGGGAAGCACAGCUGGACAAGUCUGUGGGACUGCUACAGUGCUUAGGGAAACACCAGGAAGCUGUUUGAGUGGAUGAGGCUGGCACGUACACUUCAGUCUGGUGACCAUCUUGAUUGGCAGCACCAUGGGAAACUCAACACUUGGAUAAAGAGCAGUGCAUAUGGUGAAUAUGGGAGACAAAUUUUGAAGCUGUAAUUCAGGUAAGUGAGAGCUGAGAGGAGUUUUUCCUUCCUUUUUUUUUGUUUUUUUCAGGCAAUGAUUUUAGAGCACAGAUCAUCAAGUCCAUAUUAAAGA